rnacentral:lncRNA from 1 species
CGAAAAGAUUCCAGGCAAACUGUCACUGCCAAGUAGGCAUCUGCCUACCUGCAUGGCUCCCUUGGCUGCCUGAGUUCAUAAGCUCCACUCCCAAAGGUGGCUUCCCGCCAAAGCUGGGAGCUGGCUACCCAAUCCUAACUCGAUCUCAGUCUCCCAUUAAAGCCCCAUGUGCUCGGGAGCAGCUUUGCAAAUCGCUAAUGGUUUCUUUUUUCGGGAAAAGAGAGAGGCAGGCCAGUGUAGCAGCCAGCUGACUGACAGAAAUCCACAAAGCUGGCAGCCGGCCCGGCCCAGAAGACAAAAGGGUCUUUGGUUCACCUGUCAAGACUGUGCUCCUUCCUCAGGUCUCUUCCCGUGGAGCUUAUCUGAUUCCUCCAGCCAGCUGACUGGCCAUAACAUAAGCUGGAUCUAUCAGAUUUUUCUCCUGGGAAUUUGGCAUUGUGACUCAGAGCCGGCUAGUCAGUCUAUUUGUUGCUGGGAGCAGAGCAUAAACCAUAUUCUUCCAUGUGGACGAAGAACCUGUGAAGCCUCUUCAGAGAGAGAAGUUUUACAACAAAGCAGCAAAAGCAAGAAAUAGUGUGAGUCCUGGGGGCUUCCCAAGCUUCAGUUCUGCUCUAUCCUGGCAGCCUGGCUUUAUUCUUGUCCUUGAUUUCAGGAAACAUUUAGUUCUUUCUAAUACCUAGAAGAGCAUGAUGAUUAUCGCCUCUCUGUCCCUCAGGUCGAGUCUUUGCCGUCUUCUGUCCUGCUCUGUGCCUUGGGGACUGAGAAUGGGAUUAUCACCACCCACCGCCCCCUCCCCUUUUAACCACACCCCAUGACCUUGUGAUUUCAUUUUUGAGUUCUUUUUUUAAUUGCUUCAAUCCUAUUAUGUUUUUCUAUAACACAAAGCAUAUGCAUGGGAUUUGCUUUUAUUCCCUGAGUUAUAGUUUUCUUUUAGACUAGGUUCUUUGUCUUUUCCUGUUAUGCUUUUUCCCCCUCUGCAGAGCGUUUUACAGCUUCCAUGUGGUUUUCUUUUUCAUCUCAUGGUUAUCAUGAGACACUUGUCCAGAAUUUCUAUUUGAUCCACUAUAGUGUGUGAGUGAGUUCCCUUUAAAUUCUUUUCCACUGAGACCUAUUUAUAUAUCUCUAAACUACAAAUAAAGCCUGGGCAUCCCAGGUCCUAGCCA